rnacentral:rRNA from 1 species
UACGAAGGGUGCAAACGUUGCUCGGAAUUAUUGGGCGUAAAGCGCACGUAGGCGGCUUAGCAAGUUGGAUGUGAAAUCCCUCGGCUCAACCAAGGAAGUGCAUCCAAAACUGCUGAGCUUGAAUACUUAAGAGGAUCGCGGAAUUCCCGGUGUAGAGGUGAAAUUCGUAGAUAUCGGGGAGGAACACCAGUGGCGAAGGCGGCGAUCUGGGAAGAUAUUGACGCUGAGGUGCGAAAGCGUGGGGAGCAAACAGG